GGAAUAUUGGACAAUGGGCGAAAGCCUGAUCCAGCAAUGCCGCGUGAGUGAUGAAGGCCUUAGGGUUGUAAAGCUCUUUUACCCGGGAUGAUAAUGACAGUACCGGGAGAAUAAGCCCCGGCUAACUCCGUGCCAGCAGCCGCGGUAAUACGAAGGGGGCUAGCGUUGUUCGGAAUUACUGGGCGUAAAGCGCGCGCAGGCGGCUAUCCAAGUCAGUGGUGAAAGCCCGGAGCUCAACUCCGGAACUGCCAUUGAAACUGUUUAGCUUGAGGACGAGAGAGGUGAGUGGAAUUCCCAGUGUAGAGGUGAAAUUCGUAGAUAUUGGGAAGAACACCGGUGGCGAAGGCGGCUCACUGGCUCGUAUCUGACGCUCAGGCGCGAUAGCGUGGGGAUC
rnacentral:rRNA from 1 species